GAUCAGGCUCAGGACGAACGCUGGCGGCGUGCCUAACACAUGCAAGUCGAACGAGGGUUUGGAAAGCUUGCUUUCCGAAACCUAGUGGCGGACGGGUGAGUAACGCGUGAGUAACCUGCCUUUCAGAGGGGAAUAACGUUCUGAAAAGAACGCUAAUACCGCAUAACGUACAGUUACCGCAUGGUAGCAGUACCAAAGGAGCAAUCCGCUGAAAGAUGGACUCGCGUCCGAUUAGCUAGUUGGUGGGGUAAAGGCCU
rnacentral:rRNA from 1 species